CUUGGAAACGGUUGCCCUCCUCCUACUUCACGCGCUCGCGUUGAAAUUAAAAUUAAAAUCCAAAUAAAGUUAAUUAUUUUGCAGUGCGAAUUGACACAGUUUCGUUUGGAUUAACUUGUUCCAAUUCGGAGUGCAACUGAAAACAAAACUGCAGCCAAACAGGGCAAACAGCCAAACACGUUCUACAUUGCGUUCAAUGCUAUGCGGUUGGGCGACAAUGGAUGCAGCACAUCAGUGCCGGCAUCCGGUUCGGCUUUGUUCUGGUCCCGUUCUGGCUGGCUCUGGCUUUGGCCUGCGCUCACAACUGUCAGCAGCCAACGGUAGCACAUCGAUGAUGGCCCGGUCGGCCAGGUCGGGUUCGUCUUCCCUGCUCCGUUGUGCUCCGGUCUGGUCUGGUCUGGCCCCUUCGCUGUCUCCCGGC
rnacentral:lncRNA from 1 species